rnacentral:rRNA from 1 species
CAAGUCGAACGGUAACAGGCCCGCAAGGGUGCUGACGAGUGGCGGACGGGUGAGGAAUACAUCGGAAUUUGCCCAGUCGUGGGGGAUAACGUAGGGAAACUUACGCUAAUACCGCAUACNACCGGAAGGUGAAAGCGGGGGAUCCGUAAGGACCUCGCGCGAUUGGAUGAGCCGAUGUCGGAUUAGCUAGUUGGUAGGGUAAAGGCCUACCAAGGCGACGAUCCGUAGCUGGUCUGAGAGGAUGAUCAGCCACACUGGGACUGAGACACGGCCCAGACUCCUACGGGAGGCAGCAGUGGGGAAUAUUGGACAAUGGGGGCAACCCUGAUCCAGCAAUGCCGCGUGUGUGAAGAAGGCCUUCUGGUUGUAAAGCACUUUUAUCGGGAACGAAACAUUGUCGGUGAAUAUCCGGC